GCGCUCUAUGAUGAGGCAUGAGAACAGUGAGAAACGCCUCCUAAGCGAUAGGUCACACGUUCGAAUCGUGUCGAGGGCGCCA
rnacentral:tRNA from 1 species